AGCGCAGCAUCCCUUGGGCCAGUGGCAACCAUUUAAUGCCGUGGGGAUGUGGCCCCUGUCCUGUUGCGCGAGAGCC
rnacentral:snoRNA from 26 species